GAUGAACGCUGGCGGCGUGCCUAAUACAUGCAAGUCGAGCGAACAGACGAGGAGCUUGCUCCUCUGACGUUAGCGGCGGACGGGUGAGUAACACGUGGAUAACCUACCUAUAAGACUGGGAUAACUUCGGGAAACCGGAGCUAAUACCGGAUAAUAUAUUGAACCGCAUGGUUCAAUAGUGAAAGACGGUUUUGCUGUCACUUAUAGAUGGAUCCGCGCCGCAUUAGCUAGUUGGUAAGGUAACGGCUUACCAAGGCAACGAUGCGUAGCCGACCUGAGAGGGUGAUCGGCCACACUGGAACUGAGACACGGUCCAGACUCCUACGGGAGGCAGCAGUAGGGAAUCUUCCGCAAAGGGCGAAAGCUUGACGGAGCAACGCCGCGUGAGUGAUGAAGGUCUUCGGAUCGUAAAACUCUGUUAUUAGGGAAGAACAAAUGUGUAAGUAACUAUGCACGUCUUGACGGUACCUAAUCAGAAAGCAACGGCUAACUACGUG
rnacentral:rRNA from 1 species